UUGGAGGUGCGGGCCUCCAGGAUCAUGAUAGU
rnacentral:sRNA from 1 species